AUCCUUGGUUGACAACAGCAUCCGCACGCCGCGGGGGAAGCCGGUGCAACUCCGGCACUGACCCGCAACGGUGAAAGUCCGACUGCCCGUGGCGUGCGGUAGCUCCACC
rnacentral:ncRNA from 14 species